rnacentral:tRNA from 1 species
UCCCUGGUAGUCUAGUGGUUAGGACUCGGCACUUUCACUGCUGUGGCUCAGGUUCAGUCACUGGUCUGGGAA